UGGGGAAUAUUGCACAAUGGGCGCAAGCCUGAUGCAGCCAUGCCGCGUGUAUGAAGAAGGCCUUCGGGUUGUAAAGUACUUUCAGUCGGGAGGAAGGUGGUAAGGUUAAUAACCUUAUCAAUUGACGUUACCGACAGAAGAAGCACCUGCUAACUCCGUGCCAGCAGCCGCGGUAAUACGGAGGGUGCAAGCGUUAAUCGGAAUUACUGGGCGUAAAGCGCACGCAGGCGGUUGAUUGAGUCAGAUGUGAAAUCCCCGGGCUUAACCCGGGAAUUGCAUCUGAUACUGGUCAGCUAGAGUCUUGUAGAGGGGGGUAGAAUUCCAUGUGUAGCGGUGAAAUGCGUAGAGAUGUGGAGGAAUACCGGUGGCGAAGGCGGCCCCCUGGACAAAGACUGACGCUCAGGUGCGAAAGCGUGGGGAGCAAACAGG
rnacentral:rRNA from 1 species